rnacentral:rRNA from 1 species
AAAUGAAUUGACGGGGGCCCGCACAAGCAGUGGAGUAUGUGGUUUAAUUCGAAGCAACGCGAAGAACCUUACCAGGGUUUGACAUCCUCUGACGUCCAUAGAGAUAUGGAGUUCUCUUCGGAGACAGAGAGACAGGUGGUGCAUGGUUGUCGUCAGCUCGUGUCGUGAGAUGUUGGGUUAAGUCCCGCAACGAGCGCAACCCUUGUCGUCAGUUACCAUCAUUAAGUUGGGGACUCUGGCGAGACCGCCGUUGACAAAACGGAGGAAGGUGGGGAUGACGUCAAAUCAUCAUGCCCCUUACGUCCUGGGCUACACACGUACUACAAUGGUAGGAACAACAGGCAGCGAAACCGCGAGGUGGAGCCAAUCCCCAAAUCCUAUCUCAGUUCAGAUUGCAGGCUGCAACUCGCCUGCAUGAAGCAGGAAUUGCUAGUAAUGGCAGGUCAGCAUACUGCCGUGAAUACGUUCCCGGGCCUUGUACACACCGCCCGU